rnacentral:rRNA from 1 species
UCCAGCUCCAAUAGCGUAUAUUAAAGUUGUUGCAGUUAGAACGCUCGUAGUCGGAUUUCGGGGCGGGCCGACCGGUCUGCCGAUGGGUACGCACUGGUCGGCGCGUCCUUCCUUCCGGAGACCGUGCCUACUCUUAACUGAGCGGGUGCGGGAGACGGAUCGUUUACUUUGAAAAAAUCAGAGUGUUUCAAGCAGGCAGCUCGCUCUUGCAUGGAUUAGCAUGGGAUAAUGAAAUAGGACUUUGGUGCUAUUUUGUUGGUUUCGAACACCGAAGUAAUGAUUAACAGGGACAGUCAGGGGCACUCGUAUUCCGCCGAGAGAGGUGAAAUUCUUAGACCAGCGGAAGACGAACUACUGCGAAAGCAUUUGCCAGGGAUGUUUUCACUGAUCAAGAACGAAAGUUAGGGGAUCGAAGAGGAUCAGAUACCCUCGUAGUCUUAACCAUAAACCAUGCCGACUAGGGAUUGGGGGAUGUUCACAUAUCGACUCCCUCAGCACCUUACGGGAAACUAAAGUCUUUGGGUUCCGGGGGGAGUAUGGUCGCAAGUCUGAAACUUAAAGGAAUUGACGGAAGGGCACCACCAGGUGUGGAGCCUGCGGCUUAAUUUGACUCAACACGGGGAAACUUACCAGGUCCAGACAUUGUGAGGAUUGACAGAUUGAGAGCUCUUUCUUGAUUCGAUGGGUGGUGGUGCAUGGGCCGUUCUUAGUUGGUGGAGUGAUUUGUCUGGUUAAUUCCGUUAACGAACGAGACCUUAGCCUGCUAAAUAGUGACGCGAACACUUCGUUGGCGGGCCACUUCUUAGAGGGACAACUUGUCUUCAACAAGUGGAAGUUUGAGGCAAUAAC